rnacentral:tRNA from 1 species
GGAGAGAUGGCCGAGUGGUCGAUGGCGCCGCUCUCGAAAAGCGGUAGGCCCUCUAAGGGUCUCGAGGGUUCGAAUCCCUCUCUCUCCGCCA